UCGUGUUCCUUUUGUUUCCUUCUUUCUAUCCUCUCUGCUUAUCUUCCUUUCUCUCUCUGUUUUUUCUCUUCCUCUUAAUUAAAAAAAAUCACUGGAAAAAGGACAUGGGGCAAUAACAAAUACCUCGUAAAGUUGUGCUUCGCUGUCUAGGCAAACGAGUUUCUCCCUAGCUUCCUCCUCUGCCACAAAGAAAUCUAGGGGAGUGGGAAAUACAGGGAGAACUUCGAGAAAGAAUUUGUGGAAGACAUUGUCUGCCCUUCUCCAGACCUCAUUCGCCCCUGGAAAGCACAGUGACUUUUUUUCUCUUGCCUACAUUCCCCAAGUUAAGAAGCACAAUCUUGAUACCUGAGGAAAAUGAAAGGUUGAUUCAGCCUUUCAGUUUGAGAACACUCCUGCCCUCAGCUCUCGGGUUCUAGACCGAAGUCGGAUUUCUGGAGGUUGUGUUUCGUGGCCUGCAGUAAAUGAAAGGAUCUUUGUCAUUGUACCUGUCCUAGUCAGGCUAGACGCUGUUCCUGAAAGGGGUCAGUCAGUCAAUCAACAAGCAUUUAUUAAGCUCUUACCCGGGUCAACCACUAUGGGAAUAAAUUGCCCUCAAGGGGCAUAAAUCUAACAUUGAUCAUAAAUUUAUCGAAAAGCACCGACGUGUAUGGUCAGGAAGAGAAGCAAAGUUAUAUUCUACCUUUUACCUGUGAUGGUGGAUUAAUUAAACUAGUCAUUUGGGACGGCAACGCCUCCAGGGACAGUCAAGCAGAGUUUUUCUGGGAUUUAAUUUAUCUGGCUCUUGGGGCGAUAAAGUGGCCAGCUCAAGCCAGAGAGCGGAUCAAGGAUGAUGCUGGCCUUCGCUUUCAAAGGCUAGAGAGGACCUUUCCUGUGCAGGGAGUGGAGUCUGAUCUGGCCCAGGAGUGCCCAGUCAUGGAAAUCUGGAAUCCAGGCUAGAGGUUUCAGGCAGCUCAGCAGUGAUUUUCAGAGGAUAUUCCAACCAGAAGAGGCCAGCACUAAUGACUUUGGAAGUGAACUUGGUGGGACUAAUGCUAUGUAAUACAUGAACCAAUUUGUGAGCCAAAUCUACUCCUCUCCAACCCCCCAACCCCCACUAAGCCCUUAAGAUAUUGGAGGAAGAGUUUAUUAUUUAUUUGUUCUUGCUGUAUCCUUGAAGUAAAUACAUCUUUGUAAAACUAAUCUGAUCUUAAAUGGUUCAUUGCAAUGGCUGUGCCAAGAACUGGGUCUUAAAAAUGAUAGAGGAACACAAUUGGUCCAUAGCAGAGGAAAGAGAUCUCCCUAGACUCUUCAGAAUAUUGGAGAAGUGCAUCCAGAAUCAACCAUGUUAUACAGAUUAGGAAUCUAAAGCUGUAAUUAAGUGACUUGCCCAAGGUCACAUAACUUAUUUGAGUCUUGGGAAUGAUUCAAACCUACUACUUCACUUGACAUACAAAAUAUAUAGAGUCAUUAAAUACAAGAUCAUUUGGGAAAGAGGACACUAAUAGUAAUGGGAAUCAGAAAAAGCCUAAUACAAAAAAUGGUGCUUGGAAGAGAAGGACUUCAUGAGUUAGGGGUAGAGUCAAGUGUGUGGAAUCAAGAAAAGGCCAGCGUGCCUAGAUUUCAGGGGUCAGGAAGGCAGGUAAUGCCCAGUGAAGUCAGACAGCAAGAUUUGAUAUGGGACUUGAAAGGCUAACCAGAUGUAUUUAUAUUUUAGUUUAGGGGCAAUAGAAAGUGGCUGGAGUUGGUUGAGUAGAAGAAGUGCACUUAAAAAAAUUACAUUAACAGUAGAUUAUAGAAUGGAUUAGAGUGGUAAGAGACUGGAAGCAAGAAGGCCAAGUAGGAAAUUAUUUUAUUCAUUUAGGUAAGAGGUAAUGAGAGCGUGAAUUAAAGCCAGAAGUCUAGGAUGAUACCAAGAUUAUAAAUCCAGGAGACUAGAAAGAUGAUGGUGUUUUUAAGGGACAAGAGAAGUUUGGAGGAUUUAGGAGAAAAGAUAGUGAGGUCUAUUUUACAUAUGUUAGAUUAAUGAUGUCUCCAGGAUAAUCAGUUUGAAAUAUCUUAAAAGGUAAUUGUUGAUCCAGGAUAAAAGUUUAGGGAUGAGUGGGGCUGCAUAUAGAAAUCUGGGAAUCAUAGAGAAUACUUAACCUGAUAGGAGCUGAUAAGGUUACUGAGAGAAAGCAUAGUGGGACUAGGACAGAAAAAUAUCUUGUCCCUAUUACACUUGAGUUGGAAGAAAUUUACUAGUGUAACACUCAAGAAGAUGCUCCAGUGUCCUCCUCUAUUUUGAAUCUCUGAAGACAAGUUCUUUAUACCAAAAUAAGCUUCUUAUUCUGUUGUUCUAUAUACUAAAUUGGUGAAUAUGUCCUUUGGGAGUUCUGUAGUGGUAUAAGAUUAAUCAUUUCCCCAUAUAUUCUGCAUGAUAAAGAAAUUAGAGAGCUAGAAAAUAAAGUACUAUCUAAGAUUUAAGGAGGAAAAAUGUGUUAGCAUUUGUUGUGUGUGUGUGUGUGUGUGUGUGUGUGUGUGUGAUUAGAAAAUCCAAGAGAUUAAGUUGUGGGUAAGAAAAAUCAAUUUUUUUGAUCAGACUAUAACCAAUAAAUUAAUUGGUCAGUGACAUCUCUCUUGAUUAACAAAGACAAAUUCAUUCAGGAUUUUGAAUACAAAUUACAAUUUUGGAAGCUUGUUAUUUGGCCUUCCCCAAGACAUCUGCAAUUGGUGGAUAUCCAAUUGGAGGCAGGUUAGUAUUUUCUCCCUUGUUCCCUCCUGAAAAUGGGGGAAAUCACAUGUCUGAUCAUAGGAUUCCAUCAUCCUUGUGGAUCUAGAUGAAGGAAUCAAAUCAGGCCCAAGAUUGACUUUCUCCAUGUAUCCCCAUGGGGGCACUCAAGGAUGUUACCAUACUACCUCCCAGACAUUCUUUGCCUCAACCAAUUUUUUUUUUCAUUAGACAAUAUGGAGCUUAUAAUCUUAAUUGUCCCUAUUUUGGAGGCUGCUCUGGGACAGAGAAUAUGAAGACAUUCCUAUAAUUGUCAGGACACAGGAAUGAGAAAAAACCUUGAAAAAUGUAUUACUAAGCCCUAUUAAAAAUAAAAUAAUGUGGUCAGAGCGUUAUUUAGAAAUAAAAAUGAUUCCACAUUAGGAAUAAAUCUUCUUAGCAAAUAAAGGAAGCCUUUUUGGGGCUUUAAAGGAUUGUCAGAUCAGGUGAAGAUGGAGAGGAAAAGUCUUACAGGCAUAGGGAACAGCUUGAAAAAGAACACAGAUGUGAGUGUAAUUUAUAUUUUGGGGAUGGGGUAUGGUAAAGUGGGAAGGAGCUAAGAGUUUCAGUUUGGACUGAGUGUAGAGUGUGUGCAAUGUUUAGAAAAGCGUAAUAGUGCUAGGUGGUGGAAGGUUUUGAUUAAAGGCAAAAGAGGUGGGAUUUAUUUGGGAAGCAAAAGAGAGCCACUGAAUGUUGUUAACUAGACAGUCACAUGCCCAGAGUCACAGCUAGUAAGUAUUAAAGCCAAGACACAAACUCAAAUUCUCCUGAUGCCAAAUACAGAGGUUUUUUUUUUCUUUCUAUUCUACUCCUCUAAUUUCUUUCCAUAUAGUUAAACUUUAUUUAACAAUCCAGAUCAUCCCUUCAAAAUCAGAUGAAGAAGGCUUAGUCUACUCUUUACAAACUUUAAUUUGAUUUUUAACUUCUAAUAGACUUGACCAGAGUUUUGUCAUAGAAUAUGAGAUAUUUGCAUAGCAGGAAUGAAAAUACUUUACAUGGACAGAUAAUGUUGAGGUUUUCCUAUAGACAGCUCACCUACAAGAACCUGAAUUUAAAGUCUCCAAAGCCUAUUUAGUCAACUUGUUGGAUAUUUUGUCAACAUGGCAAUACUUUUCCAAUAGCAGAAAAAAAUUGAUCUUUUCCCUUAUACAAUUAUGUCUUUUUGACUAUAAUUACUUUUUUUGUUACAACGUUCAAGUUGAAGCAAUUCCUCAGAUUGUUAUUCUAUUCCUCUACAAUUACUUUAUCUAAUUUGAUCUAAUCCAACACAAUCAGAUCAUUUAUUAGGUGCCUAACAUGUUCAACUCACUGUUAAGUUGUAUGCAUUCAAAGAAAAAAAAUGAAAAACUUUUUUUCUGUCCUCAAAGGACAUAUUCUUUUUAAAAUUUUAUUCAAGGAUAUUUUAUUUUCCCAAUUACAUCUAAUAAUAAUUUUCAACAUAUUUUCUGAACUUAUAAGAUCCAAAUUGUCUCCUUCCCUACUUUCUCUCUCCCUCUCAGAGAUGGUAAGCAAUUUGGUUUGGAUUAUACAUGUAUUAUCAUGCAAAACAUACUUCCAUAUUGGUCAUUGUUGUAAGAGAAUACUCAUUUAAAACCAAAACCUCCAAAUAGAACUAUAAAUAAAUGAAUGUGAGAUAAUAUGCUUUAAUCUGCAUCUGACUCCAAUAGUUCUUUAUCUGGAGAUGGAAAGAAUUCUUUGUCAUAAGUCCUUCAGGACGGUCCCAAAUCAUUCUAUUGCUGAGAGGAGCUAAGUCUUUCAGAGUUGAUCAUCAUACAAUCUUGCUGUUACUAUGUACAGUGUUCUCCCUGUUCUGCUUAUUUCACUCUGCAUCAUUUCAUGUACAUCUUUUCAGCCUUUUCUGAAAUCAUUCUGCUUAUCAUUUCUUAUAGCACAGUAGAAUUCCAUCUUGACAUAUACCACAAUUUGUUCAUCCAUUCUCUAAUUGAUGAACAUAGGCUCAAUUUCCAAUUCUUUGACACCACAAAGAGAGGUUCUAUACAAGGUUAUUUUAUUUUUGUACAAGAACCUACAAUUUUUGUAGGUGGUUAUUUCCAAUUUUUUAUUGUCUCUUUGUUACAUAGACAAAGGGCUUCCAGUCUACAAGGGUUGGGAAGAAAAUGUGUAAUUUUAUGAAAAAUUCCAAUAUAAAUGCCAUUUUGGUUAAGAUCUAUAUAGCUAAAUGAAUAUUUUUAGUCUCAAAACAUCUUAUGUAAUUAAAGUUAACCUUGGUGAUUAAUUUAGUAAGUUUAUAUUUGUAAAAUACAUUUGAGUAAAACUGACUUGAAUAGUGAAAUUAUAGAUUUUUGUAUUGUGUUUUCUCAUGCUAAAAUCAAGCCUUUAAUAGACACAAUAUAACAUCAAUUGCAUGGUUAGAUCUCAAAAGUAAUUUCUUAUUUCUGGAGGACUUAUUUGUCUUGACUGGCAAAUAUGUAUAUAAUUUGUGCUGUAGGUUUUCUAAAGAUUUGUGAAAGGAGAGGUUUGUAUAUUCUAGUUUUAAUUAAAAGGACCUUUAUUUAGAGCCAUAAA